rnacentral:rRNA from 1 species
UGUGAACUGCAGGACACAUGAACAUCGAUAUUUCGAACGCACAUUGCGGCCCUAGGACUUGUUCCUGGGCCACA